GGAGAGGGAUUUGGGACCCUGAACCCCUGGGAAUUGGGGAGGGGGGUCUUUGAAUCCCUGGGGUCCUUGGGAGGGGGUCUCUGAACCCCUGGGAAUUGGGGAAGGGGUCCCAGAAUUCCUGGUUUUCCGCCUGUCUCGGUUCUCCAGCACCAGGAUGAUUUGGGUGGGGGGUCCCAGAAUUCCUGGGGUCCUUGGGAGGGGGUCUCUGAAUUCCUGGGAAUUGGGGAGGGGGUCCCUGAGUUCCUGGGCCUUAUUCUGAUUCCCUGUGUCCCUGACCCCAUAUCCCUGAGUCCCGAGUCCCUCAUUCCCUGUGUCCCUCUAUCCCUCCAUCCCUCAUUCCUUCAUUCCCUGUGUCUCUCUAUCCCUCCAUCCCUCAUUCCCUGUCUCCCUGUGUCCCAAAUCCAGGGAUUUACAUCAUGGACCAUCAUUCCCAUGCUCCAGAGGAGUCCUGUGCCCCUCAAUCCCCUCUUUCCCUGUGUCCCUCAUUCCCUGUGCCCCUCAAUCCCCUCAUUCCCUGUCUCCCUGUGUCCCAAAUCCAGGGAUUUACAUCAUGGACCAUCAUUUCCGUGCCCCCGAGGAGUCCUGUGCCCCUCAUUCCCUCAUUCCCUGUCUCCCUGUGUCUCAAUUCCCUCUUUCCCUGUCCCAAAUCCAGGGAUUUACAUCGUGGACCAUCAUUUCCGUGCCCCUGAGGAGUCCUGUGCCCCUCAAUUCCCUCUUUCCCUGUCCCAAAUGCAGGGAUUUACAUCAUGGACCAUCAUUCCCAUGCCCCAGAGGAGUCCUGUGCCACUCAAUUCCCUCUUUCCCUGUGUCCCUCAUUCCCUGUGCCCCUCAAUUCCCUCAUUCCCUGUGUCCCUCAUUCCCUGUGCCCCUCAAUCCCCUCUUUCCCUGUCCCCAAUCCAGGGAUUUCCAUCGUGGACCUGCAUUUCCGUGCCCCAGAGGAGUCCUGUACCCCUCAAUUCCCUCUUUCCCUGUGUCCCAAAUCCAGGGAUUUACAUCAUGGACCAUCAUUUCCGUGCCCCCGAGGAGUCCUGUGCCCCUCAAUUCCCUCAUUCCCUGUCUCCCUGUGUCCCAAUUCCAGGGAUCUACAUCGUGGACCGGCGGUUCCGUGCCCCCGAGGAGUCCUGUGCCCCUCAAUCCCCUCAUUCCCUGUGUCCCUCAUUCCCUGUGCCCCUCAAUUCCCUCAUUCCCUGUCCCAAAUGCAGGGAUUUACAUCGUGGACCAUCAUUCCCAUGCCCCAGAGGAGUCCUGUGCCCCUCAAGUCCCUCUUUCCCUGUGCCCCUCAAUUCCCUCAUUCCCUGUCUCCCUGUGUCCCAAAUCCAGGGAUUUACAUCAUGGACCAGCAUUCCCAUGACCCAGAGGAGUCCUGUGCCCCUCAAUUCCCUCUUUCCCUGUCCCAAAUCCAGGGAUUUACAUCAUGGACCAUCAUUUCCGUGCCCCAGAGGAGUCCUGUGCCCCUCAAUUCCCUCUUUCCCUGUCUCCCUGUGUCUCAAUUCCCUCUUUCCCUGUCCCAAAUCCAGGGAUCUACAUCGUGGACCGGCGGUUCCGUGCCCCCGAGGAGUCCUGUGCCCCUCAUUCCCUGUGUCCCUGUGUCCCCAAUUCCAGGGAUUUACAUCGUGGACCGGCGGUUCCGUGCCCCCGAGGAGUCCUGUGCCCCUCAAUCCCCUCAUUCCCUGUCUCCCUGUGUCUCAAUUCCCUCAUUCCCUGUCCCAAAUCCAGGGAUUUACAUCAUAGACCAUCAUUUCUGUGCUCCAGAGGAGUCCUGUGCCCCUCAAUCCCCUCUUUCCCUGUGUCCCUCAUUCCCUGUGCCCCUCAAUCCCCUCUUUCCCUGUCCCCAAUCCAGGGAUCUACAUCGUGGACCGGCGGUUCCGUGCCCCCGAGGAGUC
ensembl:lncRNA